UAAGACGGAGGAUGCAAGUGUUAUCCGGAAUUAUUGGGCGUAAAGCGUCUGUAGGUUGCCUAACAAGUCUGUUGUUAAAGGUUAAAGCUUAACUUUAAAACUGCAGCAGAAACUGCUAGGCUUGAGUACAGUUGAAGUAGAGGGAAUUUCCAGUGAAGCGGUGAAAUGCGUAGAUAUUGGAAGGAACACCAAUGGCGAAAGCACUCUACUAGACUUUUACUGACACUCAGAGACGAAAGCUAGGGUAGCAAAUGGGAUUAGAUACCCCAGUAGUCCUAGCCGUAAACGAUGGAUACUAAACAUUGCGUGCAUCGAUCCGCGUGGUGUUAUAGCUAACGCGUUAAGUAUCCCGCCUGGGGAGUAUGCUCGCAAGGGUG
rnacentral:rRNA from 1 species